AUUGAACGCUGGCGGCAGGCUUAACACAUGCAAGUCGAGCGGGGUGAUGGUGCUUGCACUAUCACUUAGCGGCGGACGGGUGAGUAAUGCUUAGGAAUCUGCCUAUUAGUGGGGGACAACAUCUCGAAAGGGAUGCUAAUACCGCAUACGUCCUACGGGAGAAAGCAGGGGAUCACUUGUGACCUUGCGCUAAUAGAUGAGCCUAGGUCGGAUUAGCUAGUUGGUGGGGUAAAGGCCUACCAAGGCGACGAUCUGUAGCGGGUCUGAGAGGAUGAUCCGCCACACUGCGACGGAGACACGGCCCAGACUCCUACGGGAGGCAGCAGUGGGGAAUAUUGGACAAUGGGGGGAACCCUGAUCCAGCCAUGCCGCGUGUGUGAAGAAGGCCUUAUGGUUGUAAAGCACUUUGAGCGAGGAGGAGGCUCUUUUGGUUAAUACCCAAGAUGAGUGGACGUUACUCGCAGAAUAAGCACCGGCUAACUCUGUGCCAGCCGCCGCCGUAA
rnacentral:rRNA from 1 species